rnacentral:rRNA from 1 species
CGUCUAUAUACGUAUAGCAUAUCAAUAAGCGGAGGAAAAGAAACUAACUAGGAUUCCCUCAGUAACGGCGAGUGAAGCGGGAAGAGCUCAAAUUUGAAAUCUUCAAGGUUCUACCUUGACGAAUUGUAGUUUAAAGAAGUGUUUUCUGUUGGAGUUUUGGUAAAAGUUCUUUGGAAUAGGACAUCAUAGAGGGUGAGAAUCCCGUAUUUGACCAUUAUUUCCCAACUUUGUGAUACACUUUCAAAGAGUCGGAUUGUUUGGGAAUGCAGUCCAAAAUGGGUGGUAAAUUUCAUCUAAGGCUAAAUACUGGCGAGAGACCGAUAGCGAACAAGUACCGUGAGGGAAAGAUGAAAAGAACUUUGAAAAGAGAGUUAAACAGUACGUGAAAUUGUCAAAAGGGAAGCGUUUGACACCAGUGUUGUUUUCUCGAAAAUCAAUUAAAAAAGAUUGGAUUUUGUGUUGUAUUGACUUUAUCAGCUUUCUGCACUCUUUUCUUGUCCUUUUUAAUGCACUUUUCGUUUAACAAGUCAACAUCAAUUUCUUUUGCUGUAAAAGGGUCAUUGGAAGGUGGCUUUCUUUUCGGAGAAAGUGUUUAUAGCCAUUUGACUUCUGCAAUCGGAGAGAUUGAGGUCUGCAGCGUAGAUCCUUCGGGGUUAGAUACAUUUGUGCUAAGUUAUAGCCUUUCAUAGACAACUUGUUGACUAUGAUCAGUCAUGUAGCUUACUCGCUUAUGCUAUUUUACCUACGCUUAGGAUGUUGACGAUCAGCUGAGCGCG